rnacentral:rRNA from 1 species
UGGGGAAUAUUGGACAAUGGGCGAAAGCCUGAUCCAGCCAUGCCGCGUGUGUGAAGAAGGUCUUCGGAUUGUAAAGCACUUUAAGUUGGGAGGAAGGGCAGUAAGCGAAUACCUUGCUGUUUUGACGUUACCGACAGAAUAAGCACCGGCUAACUCUGUGCCAGCAGCCGCGGUAAUACAGAGGGAGCAAGCGUUAAUCGGAAUUACUGGGCGUAAAGCGCGCGUAGGUGGUUCGUUAAGUUGAAUGUGAAAGCCCCGGGCUCAACCUGGGAACUGCAUCCAAAACUGGCGAGCUAGAGUAGGGCAGACGGUGGUGGAAUUUCCUGUGUAGCGGUGAAAUGCGUAGAUAUAGGAAGGAACACCAGUGGCGAAGGCGACCACCUGGGCUCAUACUGACACUGAGGUGCGAAAGCGUGAGGAGCAAACAGG